UGUGGAUUCAAGCGAGAUUGAUUUAUCUGAGAUUCAAGAAGCAAAUCAUGAUGAUGGUGAUGGUGGAAAUGAUGCACUGGUCAUGCGCCUAAGACAGCAUGAAGAAGCUGUGAUGCGAGAUGGGACAGGGAGAGUUGAUAAGAUGGUAUGUAGAACAACAGAAUCAGAAAAAUAGCUACAGUUCUGUGGAGGAAGCAAAGAAUGAAGCUUCAAAAAUCAAAGCUAUUAUAGAGGCAAAACUACAGCAAUAUCUGAGUCUUGCCAAUAUGUUUAAUUAUUCUAUUUUAGCAAUAUAUUUUCUGGGACUAUUGGACAUGACAAAUGUUGUACUGCAGAGUUUGAUUCGGAAGGAAGGCUAUUUGAUUGUGGUAGAUUAUGACAAUUAUGUGGUAGAAUGAUGUGUGCUUUGACAACUCGUUAACCACGAUACUCAUUUAUGGUUUACGAGGUCGCACGCAUUUAAAUUCAACUUGACCAUAUAUAUGCUGCAAGUUCGGCUCUUCUAUCGCCACUAUUUUUUAUAUGUAAAAAAGGACGAGUUCAGUUUAGGACAGCUGAAAGCUUGGCAUUGGAAUCAGACCAUUGUUUUAAUUGAAAAUGCAUUUGGACAUUUAAUGGUAGCACAGAGCUGGAAUGCACGUUACCGGACUCAGCAUGACAACUGCUGAAAGCGCCCAACCCAGAAGAGAUGCUAGUACGGAUUAAUAACUCAAUUCUGCAGCGAAGAGUUGCAGAUGUCAGUGACUCUUGCACAUUCUCAAUCUGCGAGACCGGGUUGCCCGGUUAUCCUUUGCCUCGUGGGUAUGUUUAAUAUUAUGUUUUGAAUUUGUUUUUGAAAAAAAUUAUUAUUAUUAUUAUUUAUUUAUUUUAAAUUAAUAUAUUUUUAAUAUUUUUAAAUUAUUUUGAUAUGUUGAUGUAAAAAAUGAUUUUUUAAAAAAAUUAGUAUUUUAAUGUGUUAAUGAAAAACACUUUAAAAAACAACCACAUUCAACUUUCUUUACUUUUCAAUUUAUUUUUUAACUUUAUUUUUAUGAGAUUUUGUUGGUGUUUAAGCUUUUGCUUCCAUGUACUUUUUUUUAAAAGUUUUUGGUUUUAAAAGAUAUUAAAUUAAUAUUUUUAGUGUUUUUUUAAAGUUUUAAUAUUAAAAAUAAAAAAAUUCUAAAAAAAAUUAGUUUAAUAUAUUUUUCAUAUAAAAGAUCAUUUUAAAAAAUAUAAUCCAUCACAAUUUCAAUCCCCACCAGACAGCUUCCUGGCUAUAAAACGAACAUGUUGCAAAGAGAUAUGGCUGAUAGGAAAUCAGUGACUGCAGUUAUUUUCACUAACCCAUCAUUUUCAAAUUCCUAUCCUUCUAAGAAUGUGCAGCGCAAUCUAUCGUACUAGCUUGGAAGCUACAACAAUAAUUGUUUUGGUACUUAUAGGCUCUCGAUUUUCGUCGUUGCUGUCUUGCACUUUAAAAUAACGCCACCUACCCUCACUUCUCUGUCUUGCUUUGAUCAAGAGUGUACAGGUUCCCCCAUGUCAUUUUCUGCUUGGGGCCAUCACAGAUUAAGAUUAUGAAAUAAGUGUCUGCCUGUCAGGGAAGAUAGAGUCGGUGUCGGGUGGCAGCUCGCCUGUCAUUAUGCUGUGAUAGAAAUGAGUCGACAAGGUGAUAAUGUGAGUUCAAUCCACCUUGCUGAUGCGUUGAAAAGAUUUUCUCAUAACGCAGAGUCUGGUUCCUGGUGGUCUAGAUUAUCGUUGUCUUUAUAGGUUCUGAAUUUUUGCUGGCCCCAAACCAAUCAUGAGUAAAAUAAGAUGCAAAGUGACUCUUUGUUCUUUGUUCUUUUAUUAUUUAUUUUCUGAGUUUUCAUCCU